AUGGACGCAUACAUCUUCUCCUCCGUCUCCGUCAAGCCAUUGCUCCUUUCAGCCUUACCGGCGGUUACCGGAAAUGGCGCUCGGAGAGAUCGCCACCGUGGACUCUUCCGCCCUUGCCCGGCUACACAGGACUUCUAUGCGCUGUCUGACGGCUUCAACUUCCAGGAGGGCCUGGAGAGUGUUAAGGCAAGGCUGCAUCAAAACCAUAAGAACAAGCGGGAGGUGUUGACCACCAUUGAUCACCUCAAGCGCCUCUGCAUGGACCACUAUUUCCAAGACGAGAUCGACAAUGCCGUGGAUUCAUGCUUGGCUCUAGUCCAUAGUGAUGAUCUACUAGAAGCAACGCUUUCACUCAGGCUGGCGAGAGAAGCUAAAUAUGAUAUUUCAGCAGAUGAGGUUCUUAGAAAGUUCACUGAUGACAACGGUGACUUCAAGAUUGACCAUUGCAAAGAUAUCAGAGGGUUGGUCAGCUUGCAGGACAUAUCACACUUGAACAUGGGAGAAUCAUCACUCUACAAGGCAAAGGAGUUCUCACGAAGACACCUCACAUCUGCAAUUAGACACUUGAACCCAAACCUUGCAAGAUAUGUGAGGCAUUCAUUGGACCAUCCCUACCAUGUGAGCCUAAUGCAGUACAAGGCCAGGUACCACUUGAGUUACCUCCAGAGCUUGCCCACUAGGAACACUGCAAUGGAGGAGCUGGCUGUUGCAGAGUUAUAUCUUAACAAGUUGCAGCAUCAAAAGGAAAUGCAAGAGGUUAAGAGGUGGUGGAUGGAUUUGGGAUUGACUCGAGAAAUACGAACUGCAAGGGACCAGGUUCUAAAAUGGUACAUGUGGGCAAUGACUGUUGUCCAGGGUUUCUCCUUAUCUAGGUACCGGAUUGAGAUCACAAAGAUCAUCUCGUUUGUCUAUAUUGUGGAUGACAUCUUUGAUCUUAUUGGCACCCAAGAGGAGCUUUCCCUCUUCAGCGAGGCGAUCAAAAAGUGGGAUCUUGCAGCUGCUGGUUCACUCCCGGGCUAUAUGCUAUCAUGCUACAAGGCUCUUUACACUGUCACAAAUGAGAUUGUCGAUAUGGCAAAAAAAGAGCAUGGAUUGAACCCUAUGGAUCAACUCAGGAAUGCUUGGGAAACUUUGUUUGAUGCAUUCCUGGUUGAGAGAAAAUGGCUAUCUUCGAACCAGGUCCCUUCGCCGGAGGACUACCUAAGAAACGGCAUUAUCACAUCAGGGGUACCACUUAUAUUCUUGCAUCUUUUCUUCAUGCUAGGGCAUGAUUCGAUAGAGCUCGACGGCAACAACAUUCCUCGGGUCAUCUACUCCUCUGCGAAGAUCGUGAGGCUCCGGGAUGACAUGGGUAGUGCUAAGGAUGAAGUGCAAGAAGGGUUCGAUGGUUCCUACAAGGAGAUGUACCUGAGAGAGAAUCCUCAUGCCGAUGUGGAGGAGCACAUGCUGGAGAUGAUAACAAAAGAGUGGGAGGAGCUCAACAGGGAGUGUUUCUCUAGGACGAGGUCGUCUUGCUUGUCACCCAGUUUUCUCCUAGCGUCACUCAACUUGGCGAGGAUGACCAACAUCAUUUAUGGCUAUGAUAACGAGCAGAGGCUCCCCGUCCUGGAGGAUUACAUUGGGAUGCUCCUCUUAUGA
rnacentral:rRNA from 1 species